rnacentral:rRNA from 1 species
AGAGUUUGAUCCUGGCUCAGGACGAACGCUGGCGGCGUGGAUUAGGCAUGCAAGUCGAGCGGGUAAAUGAUCCCUUCGGGGAGAAACCAAGCGGCGAACGGGUGAGUAACACGUGAACAAUCUGUCCCCCCAUUCCGGAUAAUAGGAAGAAAUUCCUUGUAAUACGGGCGAGGGUCAUUCUUAGGCAUCUUUGAAUGAAGGAAGGUGUAAGGUAACUUAUGCCGUGUGGGGAGGAGUUCGCGGCCUAUCAGGUAGUUGGUGGGGUAAUGGCCUACCAAGCCUACGACGGGUAGCUGGUCUGAGAGGAUGGUCAGCCACAUUGGGACUGAGACACUGCCCAGACUCCUACGGGAGGCUGCAGUCGAGAAUCUUGGGCAAUGCACGAAAGUGUGACCCAGCGACGCCGCGUGAAGGAUGAAGGCCCUUGGGUCGUAAACUUCUUUUAUGGGGGAAGAAUAAAUGACGGUACCCCAUGAAUAAGCCACGGCUAACUACGUGCCAGCAGCCGCGGUAAUACGUAGGUGGCAAGCGUUGUCCGGAUUUACUGGGCGUAAAGCGUGCGCAGGCGGACUUUUAAGUAGAAAGUGAAAGGUUGGAGCUCAACUCCGACACUGCUUCCUAUACUGGAAGUCUUGAAUGCCGGAGAGGAAGAUGGAACGACACGUGUAGCGGUGAAAUGCGUUGAUAUGUGUCGGAACACCAAUGGCGAAAGCAAUCUUCUGGACGGAUAUUGACGCUCAUGCACGAAAGCUAAGGUAGCAAACAGGAUUAGAUACCCUGGUAGU